rfam:Ovis aries breed Texel chromosome 11, whole genome shotgun sequence.
UCCCUGGUGGUCCAGUGGUUAGGACUCUGCAUUUCAUCUGUAGGGGGCACAGGUUCGAUCCCUGAUCAGGGGA